GGUGGACGUGUGAUUGAUCAGUAUAGGAGUUCACUCAAGCCUGAUAUUGUUGAGACAUUGGUUUGCACUAGAGAUUGGUUAUAUGGAGAGCAAGAACAAACUUCAAUGAGUGUGGAUAACGAAGAAGAGGAUGUGUUGACAUUGGAUAGUAGCAGUUCUUGUAUUGGAGUUGAAUGACAAAGAUGGACAUGACAAACUAACUUGCGUUGGACCCAAUCUGAUGGACAAUGAGCAUAUUCAUUCAAGGGAUCAAGACUUAAGAGUGGACAAUUAUGAUGUGG